GCUUACGCCAUACCACCUUAGGCACGCCCGAUCUCGCCUGAUCUCGGAAGCUAAGCAGGGUCGGGCCUGGUUAGUACUUGGAUGGGUGACCGCCUGGGAAUACCAGGUGCUGUAAGCA
ensembl:rRNA 5S_rRNA 5S ribosomal RNA